AAUAUUUGACAAUGGGGGCAACCCUGAUCCAGCCAUGCCGCGUGUGUGAAGAAGGUCUUCGGAUUNUAACGCACUUUAAGUUGGGANGAAGGGCUUUAGGUUAAUACCCUGAAGUUUUGACGUUACCAACAGAAUAAGCACCGGCUAACUCUGUGCCAGCAGCAGCGGUAAUACAGAGGGUGGAAGCGUUAAGCGGAAUUACUGGGCGUAAAGCGAGCGUAGGGGGUUCAGGAAGAUGGGUGUGAAAUCCCCGGGCUUAACCUGGGAACUGCUUUCAUCACUGCUGAGCUAGAGUACGGUAGAGGGUAGUGGAAUUUCCUGUGUAGCGGUGAAGUGCGUAGAUAUAGGAAGGAGCACCAGUGGCGAAGGCGACUACCCGGACUGAUACUGACACUGAGGUGCGGAAAGCGUGGGGAGCAAACA
rnacentral:rRNA from 1 species